rnacentral:rRNA from 1 species
ACUCCUACGGGAGGCAGCAGUGGGGAAUAUUGCACAAUGGGGGAAGCCCUGAUGCAGCCAUGCCGCGUGUGUGAAGAAGGCUUUCGGGUUGUAAAGCACUUUCAGUAGGGAGGAAGGUAGUGUAGUUAACACCUGCACUAUUUGACGUUACCUACAGAAGAAGCACCGGCUAACUCCGUGCCAGCAGCCGCGGUAAUACGGAGGGUGCGAGCGUUAAUCGGAAUUACUGGGCGUAAAGCGCAUGCAGGCGGCCUGUUAAGUCAGAUGUGAAAGCCCGGGGCUUAACCUCGGAAUUGCAUUUGAAACUGGCAGGCUAGAGUCUUGUAGAGGGGUUAGAAUUUCAGGUGUAGCGGUGAAAUGCGUAGAGAUCUGAAGGAAUACCAGUGGCGAAGGCGGCCCCUGGACAAAGACUGACGCUCAGAUGCGAAAGCGUGGGAGCAAACAGGAUUAGAUACCCCUGGUAGCACAGAG